ensembl:miRNA gmo-mir-7c gmo-mir-7c
UGGAAGACUAGUGAUUUUGUUGUGGCAUUGAUGAAAGAACAACAAGUCCCAGUCUACCUCU